ACUGACUGGAGGCAGAUGAUGAAUUUGAAGCCCUGACAAAGAGAAGGCAAAAUCAGUUUGUGUCCCUGAGUUGCUAAGUGGAGAAGAAACGUCCACCAACCAGGAAACACCUGCCUCCAACUGUUAAGUGAGCAAGAAAUAAACUUCUGUUGUGUUUGAGCUAUUACACAUUUUCUGAUCUAUUUGUCUACAGGUUAAUUUAUGUUUAAAUAUGUUUUAAACUGCCACUGAACUGACUUAGUCACAUAUUUAAACUUUGCAGUAGGUCUGUGAAAUGUGCUUUGUUUCUGGUCAGCAUGGACACCCGCUUUAAUAGUGGCUUCAGAUGAGGCACCUUGUGACAGAGGAGCUCUUCCCCUGCAGCAACCUUGAAGAUGUUGUGGAAGACAAUAGCCAUUCUUACUUCACUCUGAGGAUCACGAUGGCGUGCAAGGGUGUGCCAAGCACAUUGCUAUCUUUGGCCAUUCUCUCUCACAUUAGUACACCUGGAUGUGAAUGGCACGUUAUCUAUGUAAGCAGUGAUGGUCUCUAUCUGGUGGUAGAAAUGACAGAAUUACACACAAUCAGGACAGCUGAGAUUCCAUUUACUAGCUCAGUAAUCAGAGAAUAUGUAUGACAUCCCAGCAAAAAAUGUUGAACAUGUUCAGAUUUCAUCAUAUCAGCACCACAGUAUCAGUCUUACUGGGAGGUGCUCGCAUUCAGUUCCUGGCUACUGAAGAAAUUUUGCAGGAGUUCCAGAUAACUUACUUGUCCCAUAAUAAUGAAAACUAUUACAAUUAUGCUAAAGAAGAAUACUUAAUAACACAGUAAAAAUGUUUAUGAUGUCUUUUAAUUUCUAAAGCAUGUUAUAAAAGUAUUACAGUAUGAUCUCAUAUUUGUAAGUAAAAUAUAUAUUAAUUCAUUUAGCAAAUAAAUAUUAAGCCCCUACUAUGCACAUACCAAUAUAGAUAUUGGUAUUUGUGUGGGUGUGUGUUACAGCAGAUUUUAAUUUUCUUAUUUUGUAUUUUCUGAUUUAUCUACAAUGAAUUUGUAUUAAUUUGCUAACAAAACAUCACUAUUAAAAUAAAUUUUUUUUGAAUUAUAAGAAAAGGCUAACAUCAUAACAAUAAGGUUGUAUAGAAUAAACUGACAACACAGAAGUUAUUUUGGCCCUGUGUUCCACAGUGACUCACCAAAUAUACCCUGCACUGUUUAUUUUAUUUUUUUCUAUUUCACUAUUGAAAUGAACAGAUGCAUUUCACGUCACAUGGAUCUCGUGGAAACAUGCCAAACAUUUUCUUAGCAACCAAACUCCUGUCUUCUGCACUGUGCAUGAUUAACUAAAACAGCCUGUUGACGGCUUAAAAUAAACCUGCCUUUUCCAUUUAGCAUUUUAUCAAAUGAAUAUAAUUUCAUUUGCUGAUGAAUUUAGUUCAGCUUCAAGAGAAUUUUUCUUUUCUUCAUGGGGAGGCUGAAGAAUCAGAACUGUCAUACCAAAGAAUGAAAAGCAAGCCUAGGGAGAACAAGACAGUCUGAUGUUUACAUGGGUAAAGUAAAAGUAUCUUUGUCAAUAUUACCAGCACUCUCCCUCACCCUCUGUUUUAUAGGGUGGAAUGUUGAUUUUAGUUCUGCUUUUGCAUUAUGGUGUUUACGUUGCUUGAUUACAAGCAUUAAUUUAAAUGACUGCUGUGGGGAUUACUAUUGUUAUUAUACGUGAGCUCUUGUCUUACUUUUGUUUAUUUCUAGCACUUGAGUAUGCCCUAAAAUUUAAUUAGAUUCAUCUCUUAGGAUAGUAGACCCUUUGCUGGGGUUCAAAAGUAAAGGGACAAAUGGUAUAAUCCGUCAAGGGAGGAGGGAGGUAUAUUAUCAGCAAUGAGGAGAGUCAAUGUUUUCUUAGAGGAUGUGACUCUGCAACUUGGAAUGAAUUGAUAUUCUGUUUGAUGAAUAUAAAAUAUAUCUCUGUGUCUAUAUGUACAUGUAGACACUUUGCAUCCAAAGACUAUAGGGAUAUUUGCUAAAUAAGGAAGAUUUAAAGUUUCUUUAAAGACAGCUUAAAAACAAAGUCAUCUAUGCAGUUAAACCAGCAUGUAUCUACAGAAUCAAUGAGAGGAAGAGGGUUGGACUGAAUAUUAUAUAGUCCAUGCGAUUUCCCCACUAUCUUUUACUUGUGUCCUCAUUUGGAAAUAGUGAAAAACAGCACUAAUGGCAAAUUGCAACACUAUUUAAAUUUCCACCUUAUUUCCCCCAGAGCAAAUUCUUAAAUGUUAAUCAUCAUCAGGCAGUCAAGUAGACACUUUAGCUGCACAUAGUUUUAUAUUUUUCCUGGGGAAUAAAGGCACAACAAAUAUAAAACAUAUUCCUGAUAAAUCCACUCUUUCUGAUUGCUGCUCUGUUUACAUUUUGAGAAAUAAUCUUGAUGUAUUGCCUUUAACAUUAGACAUAAUCAAUAUAAGAUUGAUAGACAUUUUACAUUAAACAUUGUAAAAAUAGCUGCUCCCACAUUUAAUAUUCUUCUGCUACAAGUCUGAAUUCUUCAUUACUUAAGCGAGGUUAUGAUGCUAUUCAGCUACUUUGGAAAAUGUCACUAUCUUCUUCAGGUUUGUUUUUGAAAGUGUAUUAACAUUUUCAAAACCUGAUUUCUAAGUUGAGAAAAAUCCAACUGAAAGAUGUCACAAUGACUAUUUGAGACUAAUCCUACUGACGGCAUUACUUCCUUUAUGGAGGUAAGACUUGAUAACUAGCAUUCUCUCCCACUAGCCUACAGAGAAGAUUCCCUAAAACAAUACUGGGAGCUUCUUGCAGGUGCUUAGAGUUUUAUUAAUUACACUCAGCUGGGCCGAGGGAAACUAGAGAUGAAAUCUAGGAAAUAUUCCAGAGUCUGGCAUGUGAGCAAUCAUAAGCAGUUCAUGGAAACCUCAGAGUGUCUCAGCUUUCCUGCUUUAUAUUCAUUAAUUUCCUUUUCUCAUAUUAAUAAAGGUCAAUGCUGUUAGUGCCUAUCUUAUCCAUAGAAAGGAGCUUGAUCUUGAACUAAUUCCAUUAUAUUCUAUUUUUUAAUAGAAAACUAAAAUCUUACAUUUGGGGAUGGCUUUGUUGUCAGUAUGCUUGGUACAGCUUUGUCUUUUUCUAGUGAAUAGCCCUUUACUUUAUUCCAAAAGAUCGUAUGCUUCUUAGAAGCAUUUUUAUUCUUUAGUUAAAAUUACAUUUUACUUUUAAAACUCAAUUUAAAAAUCAGCAGUUAUUUAUUGAUGGCAUGAUAUUAGUUGCUAUACUAAAUCCUAUAGAUGAAUUAAUUCUCACACUGACACUAGGAAGUAGAAUCAGGUCUUUCUGAUGCUCUAUAAUAAAGUGAAAAAGAACACACCACACCCACAUUAAGAAUAGAUUAAAUGUCUUAGUUAAUUAGCCAAGGAAAAAGAAAUCUCUCCAAGGCAGGACCAAUAUGGCCUGACUAACAAGGAUUUCCCUGGUCUCUGCUCCCUGAGAAAGUCCACCAGGAAGGUCAUAUCCACAGAUAGUAAAGACCAUCAGUGUCUAAAUGUCCCUGAUAGUAGACCUACCUCCAGCUUUCCAGGCUUCCCAAAUAAUUACGUCUUCACAACCCAAAUUAUUUUCCAAAUCCCGUGUUCUUAUAAUUACAGCAGAUUUCAGAACAUUAUACCUUUGCAGUGGUGUUCCUUAAAAAUGAGGUACAUAAAUUCCUUUAAUUCUAUAGUGAAAUAAAAAUAUAGUUCAUUUACAAUUUAAGGACUGGGGCAACUAAAAUCUGGCCAUUUGAAUAACUAAUUUCUGGUAAAAAGAAGAGGAACUAAAGUAUAGAGAUUGGUUAAUAUAGUAUUGGAAAUUGUCAGGAUAAUUUGGGAAUAGUUCUUUUUAGAUCAAUGGAUGGAUUCAAUAAGAACAUCUUUGACUUAUGAUUCUAAAAUGUGGUACUAUAUUUUUGCAAAUUUCAUCUUGAGGAAAUACUUUUCUGUAAGAUUUUCUCCCUAAAGCUAGAUUAGAUCUCCAGUGGGAGUACCCGUACUCCCUGGAAGUCUGGAACAAAACAGGCAAUAAUUUCUCAGCUCUGCAAUGGUAUACAAUGGUUGCCUAAACAAAAAAGGGCAAAGUUGUCUGGUACUUGCAUAAAUAGAUAACUAGAAAGAUAUAGACAUGGGUAUGCAUGGGUGUGUGUGUGUAUAUGUGUAUGUGUGUGCAUACAAUUAAGAAGCCUAUAUGUAUAUGGAUAUAAGCUUAUAGAUAUACAUACAUAUAAGCUUCUUAGUUCCAAAUAUAGUAACAUAAAGAAUACUUAAGUUAUUAGGAAAAGAUACUCUUUCAAUGCAGGCUCUAGGGUGCACUAAUUCAGUUGUUACUAUCCAUAUGUGGGGCUAUAUAAAUUUAAAUGUAAAUUAAUUAAAUGUAAAUUAAUUUAAAAUUCAUCUUCAGAGCUGCACUAGCCACAUUUCAAGUACUCCACAUAUGGCUAGUAGCUACCAUAUCAGAUAGCACAGACGUAGAAUCCUUCCAUCAUUGCGGGAAGUUCUAUUGGACAGUGUUGGUCCAGAAGUUAAGGAAAUAUUUUUAAAAUGCAUUUAAUAAGGGCUUGUUAGUCUUAUCCUUUCAAUAAAGUC
ensembl:lncRNA novel transcript